AUGGGCUCGUGCGUCUCGCGCUCGCCGGCGUCGGCGGUGGCGGGGUCAGGGCGGUCAUUGGCCACCAAGACAGCGAAGGUGGUGGACGUAGACGCCUCCAUGGCGCAGUUCGCGGCGCCCGUCACGGCGCGUGAGGCCCUGGAUAGUGUACAAGAGCGCCGCCCAGGCGCGUCGGUCUUCCUAUGCAGCUCCGACGAGCUCCGCUUCGACGUGCCCACCCGCGCGCUUGCGGCCGAGGAGGCCCUCCAGCCCGGGUGGCUCUACUUCGUGUUGCCCAUGUCCACGCUCCGCCGCUCACUCUCCGGGCCGGAGAUGGCCGCGCUCGCCGCCAGAGCCAGCUCGGCGCUGGCCGUCGCCAGCGGCGUUGCGUCACCCCCGCGGCGCAGGAACGGGGCCGGGGUGCCAGGCGCCAAUGGCAAGCGACGGAAGGCGGCGGCUCGCGUGUCGCCGCUCGUUGUCGCGGACGAGAUCGCCGGAUCAGACGGUGGAUCGGAUCAUCACCAUGUGUACGGAAAGUACGGCGGCGAUGAGCCAGCGGCGAAGGCCAGGAAGAGAGCUAGUUGGGGUGGAAGCCGCAGCAGCACUCGCCGUCGUCGCCGUGCAUCAGGCACCCCAACGCUGAGCUCCAUUUUGGAGGCCGAUGACUUCUGA
rnacentral:rRNA from 1 species